rnacentral:rRNA from 1 species
GUCUAAGGCCAUACCACCCUGAAUGUGCCUGAUCUGGGGAGCUAAGCAGGGUUGGGCCUGGUUAGUACUUUGAUGAGAGACUAAUAUAAAAAUAAGAAUAAUAUAAAAA